GCAGUGGAAAGCUAAGGAGAGAGAAAGACGGGACCUGUAGCAGGAAGAUCGUGCCUGGAGACCACCCACUGUUUUCAGUGCCAUCCCUGCAAAGUUCAGCAGGUCAAACCGAACCCCAGCGGAAAGAGGGUAAGCACGUCGGUAACGCUGCUCGCUUUCAUUGUCUCAGCUGCGCGACAUUAAAACCACAUUACAGUGAGCAUUACCAGCGAAAUUCAGCCGAGAGACUGCAAGAGCCCUGCACUUGCUCACGUCGCUGUAGCAGGCAGGGAAGUCACAAAGCCCCGCUCUGCGCCCGCCUCCGUCUCAGCAGCUCCGUGCGGGGCAGCGGGUGCUGGAUGCCCCGGGACAGGCACGGGACAAGCCCGGCACGGCACCGGGAGCCUCGCCCGGCCCCUUGGAGCAAGGACAAGGUAGGGGCAGGCUGCUCUUAGGGGCAGGCUGCUCGAGAACAAGGGGAGUGACAGCCCGAGGGGAGUUACCGGGCAUCCCCGGGAGCGUGGGACACAAAAACCUCAGGAGAGCUUCGUGAAGACGCACGGAUGAGUGGCACCAUCCCCUCUGUACGAGGGGAGGGGAUGCUGGAGGUGGUCUUCAUGCCCUUAGGACCGUGAAGUUAAUUUGCACCUCUUUCCAAGCUAUGCAGCCCCAGAAUAGGUGUUGCCAAGGCAUUGGCUCAAUCAUUUUAAAAAGAUGAUAGACUGGAAAAUCAGCCUGAGCUUGAGACCGACCCAAAUCAUGAGUUUCACAGAACUGCCUGAUUUUCAGCAGAAAAUGCAUGAUGGUUACUGUGCUGGCAGAACUGGUAAUUUCUGCAAGGAAAAGGAUCAGAGCGUUCAGCAGCAGCAUUGCAACACGAGACUGGGUGAAGCAGCUUGGCCUGGGGACAGCCAUAUUCAUGGAUGCGCCAGGACUGCCAGAAUAUGAUGGCCACAAAAACUGCAGAGGGAUACUGCAGCAGUUCAGCCCCUGAAAUCCAAGACCAUGUCUCUAGGCAAGUACUUGGUUUGACAAAUUAUUAUUGCUGUUUUUCACAGUAGCAUUAUGACAGGCAUCUUCAGCUCCUGGGUAGACAUACACUUUUGAAAUUGAAGCAGAAGUACAAGUAGUAAGAAAGGUUCUAGAAGUGUGGUCUACAGGGUGUUAAUACUCCGUAUGAGGAAAACUGGGCAAACUCUAAAAAAAAAAAAAGCUGGACAGUACAGGCCCUUGUCAGCUUACUUCUCAGGUCUCAGAUAUGGGCAACCUUAGAUUGUUCUUUUGUUCUGUAAAGAUCAAUGCAAACCUUUAUUUUCUAUAAAUAAUUUAAUAAAUACUUUUGUUUUACAAUGAUACAACAAAUGACAAAUUCAUAGCAAAUGAGUCACAAAGAAUUUAGGAUCAGUAUACUUUAAUAAGGUAUCAGUGUCAAAAUACAUUUCCUUAUCAAGUUAAAGUUCCCAUACAGUUAUAAUAUUGUCAAUAAGAAUUCAGCAAUAUAGAUUAUGAAAUAAUUAUGAUAAAAAGUAUGAUUAAUAUUAAGACAUGGAAUAUUUUUCAGAGUGUUUUAGUAAACUGUUAGGGUAUAACAUUUUUAAUGCUGAAACUACACAAAUAAGAAACAGAAAAGAGCAGUAUUCAAGUGUCUUUAAUCCUUGAAGCCUUUAAGUUCUUGCCACUGAAGGUUUGUCAAAUCUGGCUUGUCAAUUUCAUUACAUUUUGAUGCUUAAAAUAUGUUCUUUUUUUCCCACAUAGAAAUAAGAUCACUUUAGGAGUAGCUUAUUUUUGGUAAUAAACUCUUGAAAGAUCUAGCUGCAAUAGGGGCUAUCUUUUUUUUUUUUUUUUAAUGUUAUGUACCAAUAAUAAUAACAACAAAAGAUCUGCUUU
rnacentral:lncRNA from 1 species